AGAGUUUGAUCCUGGCUCAGGAUGAACGCUAGCUACAGGCUUAACACAUGCAAGUCGAGGGGCAUCAGGAAGAAAGCUUGCUUUCUUUGCUGGCGACCGGCGCACGGGUGAGUAACACGUAUCCAACCUGCCCUUUACUCGGGGAUAGCCUUUCGAAAGAAAGAUUAAUACCCGAUAGUAUAAUUAUUCCGCAUGGUUUGAUUAUUAAAGGAUUCCGGUAAAGGAUGGGGAUGCGUUCCAUUAGGUUGUUGGUGAGGUAACGGCCCACCAAGCCUUCGAUGGAUAGGGGUUCUGAGAGGAAGGUCCCCCACAUUGGAACUGAGACACGGUCCAAACUCCUACGGGAGGCAGCAGUGAGGAAUAUUGGUCAAUGGGCGCGAGCCUGAACCAGCCAAGUAGCGUGAAGGAUGACUGCCCUAUGGGUUGUAAACUUCUUUUAUAUUAGAAUAAAGUGCAGUAUGUAUACUGUUUUGUAUGUAUAAUAUGAAUAAGGAUCGGCUAACUCCGUGCCAGCAGCCGCGGUAAUACGGAGGAUCCGAGCGUUAUCCGGAUUUAUUGGGUUUAAAGGGAGCGUAGGUGGACUGGUAAGUCAGUUGUGAAAGUUUGCGGCUCAACCGUAAAAUUGCAGUUGAUACUGUCAGUCUUGAGUACAGUAGAGGUGGGCGGAAUUCGUGGUGUAGCGGUGAAAUGCUUAGAUAUCACGAAGAACUCCGAUUGCGAAGGCAGCUCACUGGACUGCAACUGACACUGAUGCUCGAAAGUGUGGGUAUCAAACAGGAUUAGAUACCCUGGUAGUCCACACAGUAAACGAUGAAUACUCGCUGUUUGCGAUAUACAGUAAGCGGCCAAGCGAAAGCAUUAAGUAUUCCACCUGGGGAGUACGCCGGCAACGGUGAAACUCAAAGGAAUUGACGGGGGCCCGCACAAGCGGAGGAACAUGUGGUUUAA
rnacentral:rRNA from 1 species